rfam:Tupaia chinensis contig114114, whole genome shotgun sequence.
CCCUCUCUUCUCCACGCCCCCUUUUUUUCCCCCCCGUCAAGCCUUUGUCAUCAUUAUCCUCAUCACUAAAUCCUACAGAGUACAGGGCGGAAAACGGUGCACAC